rnacentral:tRNA from 1 species
GUCCAGGGAUGGGAAUCGAACCCACAGUGUUCCACUUACCAGGAAGAUUCUAUGUCCACUAAGCUACCCUGGA